CGCCUUGCCAGCCCGCUCAGAAACUCAAAGGAAUUGACGGGGGCCCGGCACAAGCGGUGGAGCAUGUGGUUUAAUUCGAUGAUACGCGAGGAACCUUACCUGGGCUCAAAUGUAUGUUGACGUAUUCUGAAAGGGAUACUUCUUCGGACAAUAUACAAGGUGCUGCAUGGUUGUCGUCAGCUCGUGCCGUGAGGUGUCGGGUUAAGUCCCAUAACGAGCGCAACCCCUAUCAUUAGUUGCCAUCAGGUCAAGCUGGGGACUCUAAUGAAACUGCCUACGCAAGUAGUGAGGAAGGUGGGGAUGACGUCAAAUCAGCACGGCCCUUACGUCCAGGGCUACACACGUGCUACAAUGGCCGGUACAACGGGCAGCGAAGGAGCGAUCCGGAGCGAAUCCUAAAAAGCCGGUCCCAGUUCGGAUUGCAGGCUGAAACUCGCCUACAUGAAGUUGGAGUUGCUAGUAAUCGCGAAUCAGAAUGUCGCGGUGAAUGCGUUCCCGGGUCUU
rnacentral:rRNA from 1 species